GAUGAACGCUGGCGGCGUGCCUAAUACAUGCAAGUCGAGCGAACGGACGAGAAGCUUGCUUCUCUGAUGUUAGCGGCGGACGGGUGAGUAACACGUGGAUAACCUACCUAUAAGACUGGGAUAACUUCGGGAAACCGGAUCUAAUACCGGAUAAUAUUUUGAACCGCAUGGUUCAAAAGUGAAAGACGGUCUUGCUGUCACUUAUAGAUGGAUCCGCGCUGCAUUAGCUAGUUGGUAAGGUAACGGCUUACCAAGGCAACGAUGCAUAGCCGACCUGAGAGGGUGAUCGCCCACACUGGAACUGAGACACGGCCCAGACUCCUACGGGAGGCAGCAGUAGGGAAUCUUCCGCAAGGGGCGAAAGCCUGACGGAGCAACGCCGCGUGAGUGAUGAAGGUCUUCGGAUCGUAAAACUCUGUUAUUAGGGAAGAACAUAUGUGUAAGUAACUGUGAACAUCUUGACGGUACCUAAUCAGAAAGCCACGGCUAACUACGUG
rnacentral:rRNA from 1 species